GCCUGGAUAGCUCAGUUGGUUAGAGCAUGGUGCUGAUAAAGCAGAGGUUGCAGGUUUGAUCCCUGUAUGGGACA